GAAUCUGCAAGUAUAGUAAUUGUUUACCUAGCAACACAACAACAAAAAGUUUUAAAAAUUAUGGGGUAUGAAUUUAGUUUUGGCUGGGUAAACACAAUUGACAGGAAAUUGCCUCACAAUAUGUAUAUUUUUGCUCUGAAAAAAUACAGUAUAGUAUUUUGAUAGCAUAAAAGCUGUCAAGACAACAUUGGUAAUGCCAACCCAUAAGGGAUGCUGAAUUUUGAUAUUUAAGGGAGUAGAGACUGACCCAAUAUUUUGAGAUUUACAUACAAGACUUACUAAAUCUGCUAGCAGAAACCAAAAGUUUAUAUAAAACCAUUCCUAGCCAAGUGUUCCAUUUAGACAAGUUAAAUGACUCAAUUAUGACUUAUCUUUUUUCCUUCAUUUACUAUUAUUUUAAUGCACUUUGUAUUAAAUCUUAUAGUUUAAGUAAGGCACGACUUAAGACAAAGGGAGUUUUGAUUAAGGAGCAGGAAUUUUUCCCUUCAUCAUUUACCAUUCUCAAUGACUGGCACCUAUUUCUGAGUUUCCCAGUUGUUGCUUUUUUUUGUUUUAAGAUCAUGAAUAAAUUCAGUAAGUGUUUCUGAAUAGGUUUCAAGGCCAGAAUGCAAUAUGGGAAACUAUAAAGGCAAGGGAACUUGUUAUGGUCAAGCAGGAAGAAUGGGGUCAUGGCUCCUUUAAGGGUUCCCCUUCCUUUGGGAUGGGAGGGGAGGACGUCACCUGAACUGGGGACUUGUCAGCAGGACUCAUGAAAGCCAUUAUCUCCCUGUGCACCAGGUGGAAGUUAAUAUGCUCUCAUGCCCAGAUCAGCCGUUCUUACCCUCCCCUACCCAUGGGAUCAUAGAAGGACUGGGUUUUUGUGGCUGGCUGUAGGCAUCGUAUUUGUUGACCUUUCUGGAACUGGAAACUAACUUUUCCCUCACCUCCCGAUUGGCUGGAGUGCUUUUUUUUUCCCACCCUCCCAGAGCAGCUCCAGGAUCCAGCUAGGUAAGUUGGGAAGCAUAGUUUGUCAGGAAGCAGGGCCUGCAGCAGAGCCAGUCUCCGGGCAACCUAGUGAGUGCAGCAGGCAUGUAGAGGCUGCCGGCUUGCCUACACCCCAAGAUUGAUUGGAAGAAUCAAGAGUGUAGCUCUUAAGCCCAGCAGCAGUUUAGUGGCUGCUAAAAGCAUUCACCCAUGGCUGUGGUAGCUCCUGUGCCUGCUUAUUCCCAGCCCUGCUCCUGCCUUGCCUCACUCCAAGUUACCAGUCCUUGCUCUCAGCAUGGAUUCCUACUCUAACCACUAAGUCUGACUGCCCAUGUCCCAGUCACUGACACAGUUCAAGUAGUUGCAACUUAACAGGUGGCAGGUAUCUGGUGCAGGGACUCAUUCCAUAGGGAAUCUGGUUCCCGAACGACAGGGCUAGCCUUAGAAAGACUGGCACUCUGGGCAAACUUAUAUUUUGGCACUCUAUCUUUGUGUUUGAGAACAAGAGGAGCAUUGGGCACAGGACACAAGGACCAGCUCCUGGCCCCAGAGUUCAGAUGGGCUGCACAGGGAUGAGUUUCUGAGUCCAAAGGCUCCCCUGGCCAUAAACCCCGACAACCUACCAGGAAGAGAGCAAGUGUGCAGCCCCCAACCUUGCCCAUGGAAAGGGGAGACCCGGGGCUGGCCCACUGGCACUGCAGGAGCAAGCCCUCCUGCGUGCGCCUCCCCACCAGGCUGGCAGCUCUGGGCAACACCCACCAUCAACUCGUCUGGCCAGGGGCUCCAACCCUGGGCUUGCUCGCACUUAGUGCUUAAUUUGUGCUGGGGCUUGCCGAGACUUAGCCCCAGCACCUCUAGGCUCUUGGCCAGCAGUUGCCACCAGCAGCAGCGCAGAAGUAAGAGUGACAAUACGAUACCAUGCCACUCUUACUUCUGUGCUGCUGCUGGCAGUGGCGCUGCCUUCAGAGCUGGGUGCCCAACCAGCAGCUGCUGCUCUCUGGCCACCCAGCUUGAGCCUCAACACCUCUUUCAUUAUAAAUUAAGCACUGUCUACAUUCACACCUGCUCCAGCAGACCAGGCCCACCAGUUCGCGGCACUUGGACAGUGCCCCCCAGAUCAUGGUGCCCUGAGCAAUCACCAGCAUCACCCACCGCCAAGGCUGGCCCUGCUGACAGACCAGAUGUCACAGAUUUUAGGGAGCACCCCUUACUGGCCUCCCACUAGGACUACUGUAAGGGGAAUCCAAGCCCCUGCCACUCUGGAUCCCAGGAGUAUUUCAAGCUUGAAUGGAACCCAGAUGCUGCCCCAAUAUUGGGGUCCCCUAAGUAUACUCUCAGGGCUCAAACCUUCUAUCUGGCACCCUCUUCCACCUGUUGGAACUUGCUGUGCAGCCACUGAGACCCUCUGAGUGAAGUGGAAGGUAUGAGGAUGUGUUGUGUGUGAAUUAUUGCUGGAUAAUUCCCAAAAUUUGUUAAAUUAAUAAAGUAGCAGUCUAAUUAAAGCACAUCCCUUACGUCUUGCCUUUCUUCCAGCCUCUAAGGGACAAUGGACUUCUAAGGCCAUAUAAUCACCCUUCCUGCAUAACAUUCCAUAGAAUUCAGUAAGUAAUUCUUCCUUAAUACCAAACUGUCUGUAUCUUUUAGAAAAGUAUCUACCUAAUCUUGAUUUAAAGACUACAACUGAUAGAGAAUUACUUUAUCCUUUGGUAACCUGUUACUUAAUUUACAUUUUAUUUCCAGUUUCAUUUUUUUCUAAUUUCAAUUUCUAGUCAUUAGAUCUUGUUAUGCAUUUGUCUACUAUAUUAAAGAGCACUCCAAUAUGAGCUAUCUUCUCCUUGUAUUCGGACCUCAGGAUCAUGAUCAGCUUAACUCUUGAAUCUCUUUCAUUUAUCAAAGAAAAGUUUAGUUUUUUUUUUUUUUAAAAUAGAUUAGACAAAUGUGAUGUCUGGACUACUAGGAAUUAGGAAAUCCACAGAAAGCAGAUUGCCAGUAUUUGAUUAACAAGAUUACUUUCUGCAGUCACUUAAUUCAAUGCUUAAGUAUUUUUAAAAAUAUUUUUACAUGGUCUGAUAUUUUUAACUCCACCUACUAUUUAAAUGAUCUGAGCCCUCUACUGUUUAAUACAGAGAGCCAAUACAGAUUAUUUUGACUGUUGUUAUUCCAAAAUACCUCUAUAUUUAGAGAUGAUGCAUAUUUAUUAAGGAUUCCAUUAAGCACGACAUUUCCAUUUUAAUUUGAGACUUGGAAGUCACAAACACAGCUUUUAGAUGGUAUCCUCUACCACGGUCAAUAGCAAUCAGCAAGCAUAAGGGAAAAGGGAGACUCCUGGGCUAUGCAAUUAUACAAGAUGAAAGGAUUUGUAGUUGAAGUACCUUCCUGCAAAAUGCUGAAAAUUCUAGAGGAUUAAAAUCCUUCAUGAAAUUACAAAUUAAAAUGACAAAAAAAAAAGAAAGAUGGCGCACUAAUAAUCUGUGGCAAAUAAACUCCAGAUUUAUCACAGGAGCGGAUAUCAUCUAUGCUAUACCACAGAUGAGAAAUCUGGAACAAAAGUUUAAUUUUAGGUUUUUUAUAUACAGACUUAUUCAAUAAGUAUGAAUGUUAAUAUAAGAACACACUGUAAAAUGUUUCAAACAUAAUACUACCACCUACCUGUAAACAAGAUUUAUAUUAAGUUGCCGCCAAUUUCACGAACAUAAAGUGUGCAUACACCUACUGCAUAUGGGCAUUGUGUUCAGUGUUUGCGCAGUGCCUUUUAAAGAGUAUUAGAAUGUUGGAUCAAAAUGAAAAUUGUUGGUAGGCAGGUAUUUAUAAUUAAACUACAAUUUAUCACAGCUGAAUAAUUUUUUUUUUUUUGAAGAUUUACAUUGAUGGGUUGAAAGUUAUUACAUUAUGCAGAUUUAAUGUUUCAACACAUGUAGAGACAGAAUACUUCAUACUAUGUUGAGUGCACAUUGUACACAGGAAAGUCCAAUUGAGAGAAAUAACUUCAAAAUGUUAUUUUUUCCCCCACACACACUUCCCUAAGUAGUAUGCACUCAGAUACUACGGUGACAAGAUCCAUAUAGUAGUGAAUGUAAAUAUAUUUUACAACUUUCAACCUUUACUGAAAGUCUGUUGGAUUGAAAACAUCUCCACACACACACUUUCCAAUGAAAGCUGUUAGAGAACAUCGAAGACAACAACAUCUGAACUUAAUCUUCAUAUAGGUAAUACACUUAUCUAGUAACCAAAUUUCAAAACUGAAGCUUAAAAACAGCUUUUACCUCAGUUAUCCUGCAAUGUAUUACCUUUUAUUUAACAGUAAAACAGUACUAUCUGAAGAUAGAGAGUACAUUGUUCUUUAGUCAUCCAAGUGACUAAUUAGGAAAGCUUAAUUACAAUAUUUUAAUUGAUUGUGUAGCUUAUUUCAUCAACUAUUUUUCCCAUUGGAAGUCACCAUAAAAA